rnacentral:rRNA from 1 species
AGGAAUAUUGGUCAAUGGGCGCGAGCCUGAACCAGCCAAGUAGCGUGAAGGAUGAAGGUCCUACGGAUUGUAAACUUCUUUUAUAAGGGAAUAAAGUCACCCACGUGUGGGUGUUUGUAUGUACCUUAUGAAUAAGCAUCGGCUAACUCCGUGCCAGCAGCCGCGGUAAUACGGAGGAUGCGAGCGUUAUCCGGAUUUAUUGGGUUUAAAGGGAGCGUAGACGGGCCGUUAAGUCAGCUGUGAAAGUUUGAGGCUCAACCUUAAAAUUGCAGUUGAUACUGGCGUCCUUGAGUACGGUUGAGGCAGGCGGAAUUCGUGGUGUAGCGGUGAAAUGCUUAGAUAUCACGAAGAACCCCGAUUGCGAAGGCAGCCUGCUAAACCGCCACUGACGUUGAGGCUCGAAAGUGUGGGUAUCAAACAGGAUUAGAUACCCUGGUAGUCCACACGGUAAACGAUGGAUACUCGCUGUUGGCGAUAGACUGUCAGCGGCUUAGCGAAAGCGUUAAGUAUCCCACCUGGGGAGUACGCCGGCAACGGUGAAACUCAAAGGAAUUGACGGGGGCCCGCACAAGCGGAGGAACAUGUGGUUUAAUUCGAUGAUACGCGAGGAACCUUACCCGGGCUUGAAUUGCAGACGAAUUGCUUGGAAACAGGCAAGCCGCAAGGCGUCUGUGAAGGUGCUGCAUGGUUGUCGUCAGCUCGUGCCGUGAGGUGUCGGCUUAAGUGCCAUAACGAGCGCAACCCUCGUGUCCAGUUACUAGCAGGUUAUGCUGAGGACUCUGGACAGACUGCCAUCGUAAGAUGUGAGGAAGGUGGGGAUGACGUCAAAUCAGCACGGCCCUUACGUCCGGGGCUACACACGUGUUACAAUGGGGGGUACAGCAGGCAGCUACCGGGCGACCGGAUGCCAAUCCCGAAAGCCUCUCUCAGUUCGGACUGGAGUCUGCAACCCGACUCCACGAAGCUGGAUUCGCUAGUAAUCGCGCAUCAGCCACGGCGCGGUGAAUACGUUCCCG